rnacentral:lncRNA from 1 species
UUCAUGUAUUAAAUUAUGUUGGAAACAAAUUGGCACUCCUAGUGGGACCAAAUCUGCCCUUCAUCUCCUCUCUCAUAAAUCAAUCUGCAAAUCUGUAGCCGCCGUAUAAAGAUGGAAGCUCUACUAGUACUUCAAGACUCGACAUCAAAUCUACACCCCGACAAGCCUUGAAGUAGGGGGAAUUUGUAUACAUCUAAAAUUUGUGGGACUCUUCAAGAAGAAUCCCAAUUCUGUAGGCUACUUUACCCUAAAUCCGGCUUAUUUAAAGGGUAACAUAUUCUCUGAAACAGGCAUCUUGAAUAUUCCAUAAACUGAUGGGUAUUCGUAAAAAGAUCAAAAUCUCCAAUAUCCAACAAAAUUAUGGGAUAUUUAUAAAGAGAUCAUCCUAUGUUUGAGAAAUACACCACUAAAGGCCCUCGAAUUACGGAGAAAAUCAAGAGAAGAACAAAGAGAGGAACAGAUUCAUAACCACAUCGUUUAUCAAUAAAAUUAUUGUUUCUUCAUAGUUUUAUUUGUGGUUGAAGUUUACUUUCCAUGAAUUAAAUUAUGUUGGAAACAAAUUGGCACGCCCAGUGGGACCAAAUCUGCCCUUCAUCUCUUCUAUCAUAAAUCAGAUCUGCAAAUCCAUAGCUGCUGCAUAAAGAUGGAAACUCUAUUGGUACUUCAAGACUAGUCAUCAAAUCUACAUUUUGACAAGCCUUGAAGUAGGGGGCAUUUGCAGACAUCUAAAAUUUGUGGGACACUUCAAGAAGAAUCCAAAUUCUGUUAGAGUUCUAGGAGCUACUUUACCCUAAAUCUCGCCUAUUUAAAGGGUAACAUAUUCCCAAAACAGGCAUCUUGAAUAUCCCAAAAACUGAUGGGUAUUCGUAAAAAUAUUAGGAUCUCUAAUAUCCCACAAAAUCAUGAGAUAUUCAUAAAGAGAUCAUCCUAUGUUCAAGAAAUACACCACUAACGGCCC